ACUGUGCACCUGCUCCCCAUGUAGGACCUCUGUCCUUAAUGUGUUGUACUAUGCGAAUUAACGGUAAAACUAGUAUUCAAACAGUACUUUAUACUUUGUGUGUCUUUGAGGGUGCAGUCUGUUGAAAUCUUUACUAAUUCUAGGCUUGGAAGAUCACCACAAGGUGUGGAGAGUAGCGUCUCACCAGUGCAGAGCUGUUACAGAGGUGGCAGAGGAUCUGAAUCAUGCCCCUGCCACGUUAAAGGCAAGGAAAGUAUAUCUCUGAUGGGGCAAACCUCAGGCCUCCUUGCAUGGAGGAAGGCCGGGAGUUGGGAGUCCUGAGAAAUCUGGUAAACCUUAGUGAGGCUCCAGAAUCCAGGACCCCAGGCUUUGGAAGACGUCUGAGGAAAUAAAACUGAGAAGGUGCCCAACCUGAAGGCAAGACACAAAGAAGUCACAAGUCUCAACUGGCUUCAGAAAGGGUUAGCCAUUUCUUCGGAAGUAUGCAACGAUUGCCUACAAUGUAAAUCACAGGAGACAGUGAGACCUCAUCCUGGAACUAGUGAAUUUCCUAUCCACGUCUGUAAGCAACUUGAACUCUGCAUUCUAAACAGUCUACAACAGUGCCUGGCAGAAACUGAACUGAACCAAACUGAACUGGGACUGAACCAAGUGAAUUGAAAGGAAUCAAUCCCUUCAAGAAGAGGAAUAUUGCUAAGGUUUGGAAGAGAGGUGAAAUGAAUAUAAAUGAAACCAUUACUUAUUCUGAAUACAAAAUAUUAUAG